rnacentral:rRNA from 1 species
AAAGUCUGACGGAGCCACGCCGCGUGAGUGAUGAAGGUUUUCGGAUCGUAAAGCUCUGUUGUUAGGGAAGAACAAGUGCCGUUCAAAUAGGGCGGCACCUUGACGGUACCUAACCAGAAAGCCACGGCUAACUACGUGCCAGCAGCCGCGGUAAUACGUAGGUGGCAAGCGUUGUCCGGAAUUAUUGGGCGUAAAGGGCUCGCAGGCGGUUUCUUAAGUCUGAUGUGAAAGCCCCCGGCUCAACCGGGGAGGGUCAUUGGAAACUGGGGAACUUGAGUGCAGAAGAGGAGAGUGGAAUUCCACGUGUAGCGGUGAAAUGCGUAGAGAUGUGGAGGAACACCAGUGGCGAAGGCGACUCUCUGGUCUGUAACUGACGCUGAGGAGCGAAAGCGUGGGGAGCGAACAGGAUUAGAUACCCUGGUAGUCCACGCCGUAAACGAUGAGUGCUAAGUGUUAGGGGGUUUCCGCCCCUUAGUGCUGCAGCUAACGCAUUAAGCACUCCGCCUGGGGAGUACGGUCGCAAGACUGAAACUCAAAGGAAUUGACGGGGGCCCGCACAAGCGGUGGAGCAUGUGGUUUAAUUCGAAGCAACGCCAAGAACCUUACCAGGUCUUGACAUCCUCUGACAAUCCUAGAGAUAGGACUUCCCCUUCGGGGGCAGAGUGACAAGGUGGUGCAUGGUUGUCGUCAGCUCG